UCGCCCGGGAACUACGAGCAAAGCUUAAAACCCAAAGGACUUGACGGUGCCCCAUAUCCCCCUAGAGGAGCCUGUCCUACAACCGAUAACCCCCGAUUAACCUCACCAUUUUUAGUUAUUCAGCCUGUAUACCUCCGUCGUCAGCUUACCCCGUGAGCGAAAUAUAGUGAGCUUAAUGCCUUUACACCAAUACGUCAGGUCAAGGUGCAGCAAAUAAAAUGGGAAGAGAUGGGCUACACUUUCUAACAUAGAAAAUACGAAAGACUACAUAUGAAACCUAGUCAGAAGGCGGAUUUAGCAGUAAAAAGAUAACAGAGAGUUCUUUUUAAUUUGGCACUGGGGUGUGU
rnacentral:rRNA from 1 species